CGUCAGGGGCUAUGGAUGAAAGACCGGCAAACCCCGCCAGGGCAGGAAUGCAGCAACGGCAGCCAGCUCUCUCUUGCCGUAGUUCCCUGACACUU
rnacentral:SRP_RNA from 1 species